rnacentral:lncRNA from 1 species
GCUGUGCCAGGCUCCUCUCACCUAGAGUCAGAAUCCCUUGUUCAAGAAAGCCAGGUGUGAAGCACGCCUGUAGUCCUGGCUCAUCAGGAGUUCAAGGCCAUCUUCAGCUGCAUAGUGAGUUCCAGGCCAGCCUGGCUACUUGAGACCCUGUCUCCAAAAGCUAACCAUAUGGGGCCAAUGAGAUAGCUCGGCAGGUUAAGGUGCUUGCUGCCAGGCUUGAUAGCUUGAGCUUCAUCUCAAGACCCACACGAUGCAAAGAUAGAGCUGACUCCUGCGUGUUGUUCUUGGACUUCAGUACAUACUCCCGUGAACCCUCUGAUAAAUAAAAUGUAAUGAUUUUUAAAACCUCUCUGUUUUGUUUUAUGAAAUCUUCACUUGGCAGCUCUGGCUGCUUUAAACUUUCAGCAAACCUCCUGCCUUGGUCUCCCAGGUGCUGAGACUACAAGUCUGGCUGACGUUUUGCUUCUUAGUCUUCGGCAGGGUUUCACUAAGUAGUGGGGUCUUGUCCUGGAAACAGAGGUCCUCCUGCUGGGAUGACAGCCCUGGUCACCACCCCCAGUCACUUUUCUUGGUCAUUAUGGGUGGACGUUGGAGCUGCUUCCGUUAAAACGGUCUGGGAAGAACAGGGAUGUGCACAUAUUUGGAGGUCCCUCUUGGAGUAUGGGGGUACAACCCAGAAAAUGACAGGCCAUUGUUAAUUCAGCGGUGGAGGACUCUCCAGACUGUUUUCCACUGGGCCAGCUGGUGUGCUGCAGCGUCCCUCUAGCGGUGGGUGGCGGGCUUCUCACUGUAGUUUGGGUUCUGUGUCUGCUGAUGAAUCUCCCUACUCUCUUUGCAUUCUUUAGGAUCCCGCAGGGAGGCCGGCAGCACCUCGGAGCUAGUCGCGCCAGCCCAAAGCUAUCCCCUCGGGACUCCGUGGCGCGUGGCAUCUGCCAAGAGGAGGGUAGGGUUUUCAUAGGAGACCGCAGUGCAUGCACACCGGGACCAGCAAUUGUCCAGAGCAACCAUCCCCAGGGACCCGCCGGAUGUCAAGGAUACCGUGGCCAGUUUCUGGAUACCAACACCACGGGCGGCCAGCACGCAGUCCCGGGUCCCUGCCCGCAGCGGGAACACAGGAUGAGUGAGGAAUGUGAGGGAGGCGCUGCGCCCAGAGGCAGCACUAAAUGGGGGCCAAGUGUCCUUGUAGCUAUGGUUUCUCUCUGGGAGAUCUAA